CCUACGGUGAGCAGCAGUGAGGAAUAUUGGUCAAUGGGCGCGAGCCUGAACCAGCCAAGUAGCGUGAAGGAUGACUGCCCUAUGGGUUGUAAACUUCUUUUAUAAAGGCAUAAAGUGAGGCACGUGUGCCUUUUUGUAUGUACUUUAUGCAUAAGGCUCGGCUAACUCCGUGCCAGCAGCCGCGGUAAUACGGAGGAGCCGAGCGUUAUCCGGAUUUAUUGGGUUUAAAGGGAGCGUAGAUGGGUUGUUAAGUCAGUUGUGAAAGUUUGCGGCUCAACCGUAAAAUUGCACUUGAUACUGGCAGUCUUGAGUACAGUAGAGGUAGGCGGAAUUCGUGGUGUAGCGGUGAAAUGCUUAGAUAUCACGAAGAACUCCGAUUGCGAAGGCAGCUUACUAAACUGCAACUGACAUUGAUGCUCGAAAGUGUGGGUAUCAAACAGGAUUAGAUACCCGAGUAGUC
rnacentral:rRNA from 1 species